CUCACGAACUUCUCUCGUAGCAAGCAUCCAAACUGAUCAUCCUUCACUCAUGAUCAUCUUUAAUUCUUUAGCACCUAUCAGAUGGAGGCUAUUCUUCUUGAUGUUUUUUUUUAGUCCAUCGUCUAUUUUUCUAUUGAUAGCUUUAGGUGGGGAAGAAUUAAUCAUGAUCUUCUUAUCUUGAUGAGUAAAACUACGGGAGUUGGUUCGGUCAUAAAUCGUAAUAUCGUUAUCAAAUAGCCAA
rnacentral:lncRNA from 1 species